rnacentral:rRNA from 1 species
UACGAAGGGUGCAAACGUUGCUCGGAAUUAUUGGGCGUAAAGCGCACGUAGGCGGCUUUGCAAGUUAGAGGUGAAAGCCCGGGGCUCAACUCCGGAAUUGCCUUUAAAACUGCAUCGCUAGAGUUGUGGAGAGGUAAGUGGAAUUCCGAGUGUAGAGGUGAAAUUCGUAGAUAUUCGGAAGAACACCAGUGGCGAAGGCGACUUACUGGACACAUACUGACGCUGAGGUGCGAAAGCGUGGGGAGCAAACAGG